CCAACCGAAUUGCUGGCGGCGCGGCACUUCUCUCCCCGCCCCCCCCGCCAUGCUACUAUUUGUGUAUUGGACAACCCCAGUUUUUUGACAUGAUUUUUGAGUCAGAAAACCUCGCCCAAUACACGGGGAAAUACGGUAUGUCCCCACUGUGAAAGGACGUGUGGAUCCAGAAUAGGCCUCUACAGUCACUUACAGACUCACUAUUUUUUGUUGUUUUUUUAAAAAUAUAUUUUUGUUAAGUUUUAAGGAUCACUUUGAGUUCCAACAGUUUUCGAGGAAGUUUAAGUCUCCUGUGACAGCUUUAUCUGUCCUUUUUGAAUGUUUGGCAAUCUGCUCUAGGAGGACAUCAUCCAAGUCUUCAGUCUGACUCCACAGUCUAUAGCAGACACCCACAAGAAGGUCACUGUUAUUUCUCUCUUCUACAAUUGUUGCCUAGAUUGAUCUUUGAUUGAUUCUUCCUUGUUCAAUCUAUCACUCAUGUCAUGUCAUGGUUACAGAAUCCCUGCUGCCUGCGGAUUAAAUGAAAAGGAGAUUUGCAGCUACGACAGCAUACUAAAAACAUUGUAUUUACUGUAAGAUCCUCUGGGUGACUAUGUACAAAGGCUUCAUGUGAAUAUGAAUCAGCAAAGAAGAAGAAGAAGAAGAAGAAGUAAAGGGACUUUCUGGAUGAAGAGGAGUGGUUGGAGGCACCAGCCAGGGAACACCUUAGAGAAGCAGCAGAGGAGGAAGACUCACAGCCAGGAUUGUGGUGGUGGGACUCUGAAGACAUGUCAGAGGAGGAGGGAGUCUGGGAGGCAGAAGAAGCAACAGGCUCAAGGGAAAGAGAAGAGCCAGAGGAAGAAAAUCCUUCAAAGGCAGGGCAGGGUGCAGAGGAAGGCACCUCAGGUCCUGGACCUCAAAGAGAAGAGGAAGAAGCUGCAACCGAAAAGCUGAAACAGCUUCUCAGCAGCUACCUGGUCCCACCUCCUCCUUUGACUCCAAUGUCAUGCAGGUCUUUGCAUGUAGCUGAACAGAAGGCUCAGAAAGCCCAAGGGGGACCCUUCCCACCAGAGUUUAUGCUUGCUUGGGAAACAUCCAGAGGAGUGGAUUUAGGAGGAAGCAGGAGGGGCCAAGUCUUGGCAACAUUGCCACUGAGGGCAGCCAUGCCUGUGGGCAUUCUGCUUGUAUACUAUUUUCUUGAAUAAAAAACUGACUUAUGAG